UAUAUUUGAUUAUGGUACAGAGAUAUGUUUUCAAGUUUACUUGAUUGUGUUAUCAAAUAACUAUUGUUUACCAAGUAAUUUCCGAGUCUGUUAUGUUUUAAAUCUAGUGUUACAACAGAAGGUAGAUUUAAAGAUAUCCAAGUUAAAUUAUUCCUAGUCAAAUUAAGAAGUUGAAGACUUGGUGGUUCAUUAAUAACUGCUUGUGUAGUAAUACAAUUUUGGUUUAAACUAAAGAUAUUUGUUACAUGUAAUUGACGUAUGAUGAGUUCAAACAUUCUUCUAUGAGUCUGUACACAGAAGGGGGGAAACAACAUUUUACCUUUUGGAUUAUUAUUCAACAAAUUUUGUAUUUUAAGAAUUUCAAUGGAUGAAUUUGAUACUUUUGAAAUCAAUUUUAAA
rnacentral:lncRNA from 1 species